GAGAAUGCUGAGAAAGAGGGCACGGCGAAGAGUUGUUGUUACCCUAGUUCCAAGAAAGUCUUCUUACGCAGAAAACCAAAGAAUCUGGGAGAAAUAUCCCUAACACCAGCUCUGUCUGGAUUCACUGGGCAACGAUGCUGGAGAUGGUCUUGUCUGAACCUACUUCCCUGUGAUGCUGCUGCAAGCAAUUGUUUCCAUGGGAACUGUACCUCGCCAUAUUUGUGCACAUGACGAUAAACUCAACUUGACGCGAGUUCCUUCAGGUGCUCCUGUUUCCUCCCAGAUGUGCAGAUUGAUACACGGUUGAAAGUAUCCUGACUGGUUGCAUCAUGACCUGGUACACCAAUUCCAAUGCACAGGAACCCAAGAGGCUGCAGAAAAUAGUGGACACAGCCCGGUCCAUCUAAGGCAUGGCCCUCCCCACCAUUGACAUCAUCUACAGGAGGCCGUGCCUCAAGAAGGUGGCAUCUAUCAUCAAGGAUCCCCACCAUCCGGGUCAUGCCUUCUUCUCACUGCUACCAUGAGGCAGGAGGUAAAGAAUCCCAAAGUCCCUCAUGGCAGGCUGAUCCAAAAGAUUAGGAUGCAUGGGAUCCAGAGUUACUUGGUAGUUUGGAUUCAGAAUGGGCUUGCCCAUAGAAGACAGAGGGUGGUGGUGGAGGGGUGUUAUUCUGGCUGGAGGUCCGUGACCAGUGGUGUUUUGCCGGGAUCGGUGCUGGGGCCUCUGUUGUUUGUGAUGUAUAGAAAUGAUUUGGAUGAAAAUGUAGUUCAGAAUCAGAUUUAUGAUCACAGACUUACAUGACAUGAAAUUUGAUGUUUUGCGGCAGCAGUACAGUGCAAAAACAUAAAAUUAUAAAUUACAGUCCUGUAAUUAGUACAGGACUGUUCAGAAAUCUGAUGGCGGAGGAGAAGAAGCUGUUUCUUCUUCAGGGUGGGUCUUCAGGCUCCUGUACCUCCUCCCCGAUGGUAGUAACGAGAAGAGGGCAUGACCUGGGUGGUGAAGGUCCUUAGUAGAACAUAGAACAUUGCAGCAGCACAGUACAGGCCCUUCAGCCCACGAUGUUGUGCCAACCUUUUAACCAACUCUAAGAUCAAUCUAACCAUUCCCUCCCACAUACCCCUCCAUUUUUCUAUCAUCCAUGUGCCUAUCUAAGAGUCAAAUGUCCCUAAUGUAUCUGCCUCUACUAGCACCCCAGGCAGUGUGUUCCACACACCCACCACUCUGUGUAGGAAAAACUCUGAUGUCCCCCCUGUACUUUCCUUUAAUCACCUUAAAAUUAUGCCCCCUCGUGUUAGCCAUUUCUGCCCUGAGAAAAAGUCUUUGACUGUCCACUCGAUCUAUGCUUCUUAUCAUCUUGCACACCUCUGUCAGGUCACCUCUCAUCCUCGUUCACUCCAAAGAGAAAAGCCCUAGCUCACUCAGCCUAUCUUCAUAAGACAUGAUCUCCAAUCGAGGCAGCAUCCUGGUAAACCUUCUCUGCAUCCUUUCUAAAGCUUCCACAUCCUUCCUAUAGUGAGGCGACCAGAACUGAACACAAUAUUCUAAUUGUGAUCUAACCAGGGUUUUAUAGAGCUGCAACAUUACCUGGCAGCUCUUGAACUCAAUCCCCCGACUAAUGAAGGCCAACACGCCAUGUGCCUUCUUAACAACCCUAUCAACUUGUGCAGCAACUUUGAGGGAUCUAUGGACAUGGACCUCAAGAUCUUUCUGUUCCUCCACAGUACUAAGAAUCCUGCCAUUAACCCUUUACUCUGCCUUCAAAUUCAACCUUCCAAAGAGAAUCACUUCACACCUCUCUGGGUUGAAUUUCAUCUGCCACUUCUCAGCCCUGCUUUGUAUCCUAUUAAUGUCCUGUAGUAACCCUCGACAACCUUCUACACUAUCCCCAACACCACCAACCUUCGUGCCAUCUGCAAACUUACGAACCCACCCUUCCACUUCCUCAUCCAAGUCAUUUAUAAAAAUCACAAAGAGCAGGGGUCCCAGUAGAGAUCCCUGUGGAACACCACUGGUCACCAACCUCCAGCCAGAAUACGCUCCAUCUACAACCACCUUCUCUGCCUUCUAUGGGCAAGCCAAUUCCGAAUCCACACAUCCAAGUUUCCCUGGAUCCCAUGUCUCCCGACCUUCUGAAUGAGCUUAUCAUGGGGAACCUUAUCAAAUGCUUUACUAAAGUCCAUAUACACCACAUCCACUGCUCUACCCUCAUCAAUGUGCUUUGUCACAUCUUCAAAGAAUUCAAUCAGGCUCGUGAGGCAUGACCUGCUGCUCACAAAACCAUGCUGACUGUCCCUAAUCAGACUAUGCUUCUCCAAAUGCUCAUAAAUCCUGUCCCUAAGAAACUUCUCCAAUAAUUUGCCCACCACUGAAGUAAGACUCACCAGUCUAUAAUGCCCAGCAUUUCCCUCCAUCCUUUCUUGAACAAAAGAAUAACAUUGCCACCCUCCAAUCAUCUGGCACUACUCCUGUGGCCAGUGAGAACGCAAAAAUCAUCACCAAGGGCUCAGAAAUCUGUUCCCUCGCUUCUUGUAGUAUCCUGGGGACGGGCCUGGGGACUUAUCUAUCCAAAUGUUUUUCAAAAGUUCCAGCACAUCCUCCUUCUUAACAUCGACAUGUUCUAGCUUAUCAGCCCACUUUAAGCUGUCCUCACAAACAUCAAGUUCUCUCUCACAGGUGAAUACUGAAGCAACGUAUUCAUUAAGGACCUCCCCUACCUCUUCUGACUCCAGGCACAUGUUUCCUCCCCUAUACCUAAUCGGUCCUACCUUCACUCUAGUGAAGGAUAAUGGAUGCCUCCAUCUUGAGGCACCGCCUCUUGAAGAUGUCCUCAAUGGUGGGGAUUAUUGUGCCCGUGAUGGAGCUGGGUGGGUGAUGGUGAUGGGUGGAUUAGUAAGUUUGCAGACACAACAAAGAUUGGUGGAGUUAUGGAUAGCGAAGAAGGUUG